rnacentral:rRNA from 1 species
GAAUUCGCCCUUAGAGUUUGAUCCUGGCUCAGGACGAACGCUGGCGGCGCGCCUAACACAUGCAAGUCGAACGGAGCUUAGAGAGCUUGCUUUUUAAGCUUAGUGGCGAACGGGUGAGUAACGCGUGAGUAACCUGCCCUAGAGUGGGGGACAACAGUUGGAAACGACUGCUAAUACCGCAUAAGCCCACGGUACCGCAUGGUACUGAGGGAAAAGGAUUUAUUCGCUUUAGGAUGGACUCGCGUCCAAUUAGCUAGUUGGUGAGGUAACGGCCCACCAAGGCGACGAUUGGUAGCCGGACUGAGAGGUUGAACGGCCACAUUGGGACUGAGACACGGCCCAGACUCCUACGGGAGGCAGCAGUGGGGGAUAUUGCACAAUGGGGGAAACCCUGAUGCAGCGACGCCGCGUGGAGGAAGAAGGUUUUCGGAUUGUAAACUCCUGUCGUUAGGGACGAUAAUGACGGUACCUAACAAGAAAGCACCGGCUAACUACGUGCCAGCAGCCGCGGUAAAACGUAGGGUGCAAGCGUUGUCCGGAAUUACUGGGUGUAAAGGGAGCGCAGGCGGGAAGACAAGUUGGAAGUGAAAACCAUGGGCUCAACCCAUGAAUUGCUUUCAAAACUGUUUUUCUUGAGUAGUGCAGAGGUAGAUGGAAUUCCCGGUGUAGCGGUGGAAUGCGUAGAUAUCGGGAGGAACACCAGUGGCGAAGGCGGUCUACUGGGCACCAACUGACGCUGAGGCUCGAAAGCAUGGGUAGCAAACAGGAUUAGAUACCCUGGUAGUCCAUGCCGUAAACGAUGAUUACUAGGUGUUGGGGGAUUAACCCCCUCAGUGCCGCAGUUAACACAAUAAGUAAUCCACCUGGGGAGUACGACCGCAAGGUUGAAACUCAAAGGAAUUGACGGGGGCCCGCACAAGCAGUGGAGUAUGUGGUUUAAUUCGACGCAACGCGAAGAACCUUACCAAGUCUUGACAUCCUGCGACGCACAUAGAAAUAUGUGUUUCCUUCGGGACGCAGAGACAGGUGGUGCAUGGUUGUCGUCAGCUCGUGUCGUGAGAUGUUGGGUUAAGUCCCGCAACGAGCGCAACCCUUACUGUCAGUUACUACGCAAGAGGACUCUGGCAGGACUGCCGUUGACAAAACGGAGGAAGGUGGGGAUGACGUCAAAUCAUCAUGCCCUUUAUGACUUGGGCUACACACGUACUACAAUGGCGUUAAACAAAGAGAAGCAAGACCGCGAGGUGGAGCAAAACUCAGAAACAACGUCCCAGUUCGGACUGCAGGCUGCAACUCGCCUGCACGAAGUCGGAAUUGCUAGUAAUCGUGGAUCAGCAUGCCACGGUGAAUACGUUCCCGGGCCUUGCACUCACCGCCCGUCA